CCCUUACACAGAAAUCCGGUUCAGAAAUCCACGGUGCGAAGCAGAGAAAAGCAGAGCCAUUCUGGACGAGGUGUGUCCCUCCCGCUCGCACCCCAUCCCGUGGAGACACCUGAGGCAUCUUCGAGCAACUCUUAGGGCCCUAAGGAAGACGGGUUGGCAACCUCUCCGCAAUUCGAUCGCACUCGCUUAUAGAACACCUACCAUACAUGAAACGCACCUUAGAAGACUGAGGAAAAUAAGAGCUGGACCUCGCCCUCAGGGGACCUAUGAUCGGGCACCUGGCUCUUCUACUGAGAGAAGUGAAGGUGACUCCAUGCACAGACACC